rnacentral:rRNA from 1 species
GACGAACGCUGGCGGCGUGCCUAACACAUGCAAGUCGAACGGAAAGGCCCUGCUUGCCGGGUGCUCGAGUGGCGAACGGGUGAGUAACACGUGGGUGAUCUGCCCCUUACUUUGGGAUAAGCCUGGGAAACUGGGUCUAAUACUGGAUAGGACCAUGCUGUAGGUGGUGUGGUGGAAAGAUUAGUUUCGGUAAGGGAUGAGCUCGCGGCCUAUCAGCUUGUUGGUGGGGUAAUGGCCUACCAAGGCGUCGACGGGUAGCCGGCCUGAGAGGGUGGACGGCCACAUUGGGACUGAGAUACGGCCCAGACUCCUACGGGAGGCAGCAGUGGGGAAUAUUGGACAAUGGGCGCAAGCCUGAUGCAGCGACGCCGCGUGGGGGAUGACGGCCUUCGGGUUGUAAACUCCUUUCAGCCAUGACGAAGCCUUCGGGUGACGGUAGUGGGAGAAGAAGCACCGGCUAACUACGUG